rnacentral:lncRNA from 1 species
GCGAAGGUUUUGUCCCACCAGAAUCAGAUCCUGAAACCGGAGUACAAAUCAAAGACGUUCAAAUUGAUCCACAAAUUAACCUAUCAGCAAGACUUUACCUGCCCAAACAUGUGGACACUGUUGAGAAAAUUCCUCUUUUUGUCUACUUUCACGGCGGUGGUUUUCUGAUCGAAUCUGCUUAUUCACCUUCAUAUCACAAGCAUAUAAGCAAAGUAGCAGCUGAAGCAAAAGUAGUUAUUGUUUCUGUUAACUACAGGUUAGCUCCUGAGUACCUUUUACCCAUAGCUUAUGAAGAUUCCUGGCUAGCUCUCAAAUGGGUCGCUUCACAUGCCAAUGGUGAUGAUGGUCAUGAGCCAUGGCUAAAAGACCAUGCCGAUUUCAAUCGCCUCUUUUUGGGGGGAGAUAGUGCGGGUGGUAACAUUGCACACCAUAUAGCCAUUCGGGUGGGGUUGGAAAAGUUGGAUGGAAUGAAACUUAAAGGGAUUUUCCUUGCCUGUCCAUUUUUCUGGGGGAAGGAUCCUAUUGACGGUGAGGGAGAAAAAUUAGUUGUCAUUGAGAAGCUAUGGUUGUUCGUGAAUCCGAAUAGCUCGGGAUUAGAUGACCCGUUGAUUAACCCGGUAAAGGAUCCGAAUUUGUCUAGCUUAGGAUGUGAUAAAGUAGUUGUGUAUGUGGCCGGAAAAGAUGUGUUGAGAUUCAGGGGACUUUACUAUAAGGAGGUGUUGGAGAAGAGUGGGUGGCCGGGGACGGUGGAGGUUGUGGAGGUUAAAGAUGAGGCACAUGUGUUUUACCUGUCUGCUACAGAAACUGAAAAUGCCAUGGCCAUGAUGAAAAAAUUGGCCUCUUUCCUUAAUCAGUCCUAGGCCUAGUCAUGGUAAUUGGGUACGCACGUGUUGAAGAAGAAGAAAACUUACUAUUGAAAUAUGUAUGUCAAAGGAACAGGUCAAACAAAACUAAUUUUGAAGAGUUUACGGCAGUGCUGCCUAUCUCACGUACUAUUUUAAUGAAUAAAAAAUGAAUGUAAUUUCUCACAGUAAAUCUUUUUCUUAAUAUAUUUCUCAAUCUGCAGCCUACUCUUUUAGUUGAAAUAGGUUGACUAAACGGAUGGACUAAAUGUAAGUUGGUAAAUAUUUCUAUCUGCAAAUAUCAGAUGUGGGCAUUCACACUGUUCAAAUUGAAUAUGAAAAUUUGAUUUGAGUUUUUUAUUUUUGUAUUGAAGAAAUUACCGUUUUUCAAAUUCAAUUAACCUUGCAAUUGAUUGGAGUUUUAAGGUUUCAUUUAAAACUAAUCAAUUUUGACAUUGUGAAUUUAAAUUUUUGAGCCUUUAAUACAAGUGUGACAAUAAACAAGCUCAAUUCCCUUGAUAGUUUACUGUUUGGAAUGUAUAACUUUUUACAGUUCACUUGAGGUCACUACACUCGUGCCGUGGGUUAUACUGGUAGACUAUUUUUUCACUUUUAUCCACGUGAUGUCGGAAAUAAAAUAGAAUUAUUUGAUUUUAAUUAAUGAAAUCAUUUUGAUGACAUAGAAUACUAUUUGACUCUUAAAAAUAAAUUUUAUUACCAAGUUGUUGGUUUUAAAAGUAGAUCUAUCUCACAGAACUUGUUUAUAGUAACACCAACCUUUUCUGGUAACUUAGCUUUCAGUGAUGGCGGAAAUAGAACAUGACCUUUCCCCACUGAUUAGAGUUUACAGAGAUGGUCGAAUCGAGAGGAUGAUGGGUGAAGGUUUUGUCCCACCUGAAUCGGAUCCUGAAACCGGAGUACAGAUCAAAGACAUUGAAAUUGAUCCACAAAUUAACCUAUCAGCGAGACUUUACCUGCCCAAAAAUGUCGACCCGGUUCAGAAAAUCCCCCUUUUCGUCUACUUUCACGGCGGCGCUUUUGUAAUCGAAUCUGCUUCUUCACCUACCUAUCACAAGCAUCUAAGCAUGGUAGCAGCUGAAGCAAAAGUCAUCAUUGUCUCUAUUAACUACAGGUUAGCUCCUGAGUACCCGUUGCCCAUAGCAUAUGAAGAUUCAUGGAUAGCUCUCAAAUGGAUCGCUUCACAUGCUAAUGGUGAUGGUGAUGAACCAUGGCUAAAAGACCAUGCCAAUUUCAAUCGCGUCUAUUUUGGGGGAGAUAGUGCGGGUGGUAACAUCGCACACCAUAUGGCCAUUCGGGUCGGGUUGGAAAAGUUGGAGGGUGUGAAACUUGAUGGGAUUUUCCUUGCCUGUCCAUAUUUCUGGGGGAAGGAUCUGAUUGACGGUGAGGGAGAAAACUUGUUUGUCAAGGAUUUUAUUGAUAAGCUAUGGCUGUUUGCGAAUCCCAACGGCUCGGGAUUAGAUGACCCAAUGAUUAACCCGGAAAAGGAUCCGAAAUUGUGUAGCUUAGGGUGUGAGAAAGUAGUUGUGUAUGUGGCCGGAAAAGAUGCAUUGAGACUCAGGGGAUUAUACUAUAAGGAGGCGUUGGAGAAGAGUGGGUGGCCGGGGACGGUGGAAGUUGUGGAAGUUAAAGAUGAGGAACAUGUUUUUCACCUGUUUGCUCCUGAAGCUGAAAAUGCCAUGGCCAUGUUGAAAAAAUUGGUCUCUUUCCUUAAUCAGUCUUAGGCCUUCUAAUCAUGGAAUUGAGUACUAUUUUUAUGAAUUAAUUGGAUGUAAUUGUUAAAAAAUUUCUUUUUAUUGAAUAAAUGUUGGAUCAUUUAGAAAGAUCUUGUGGUAGCUUAUUACACUAUGUUGUUAAUUUUUGUUUAUUGAAAUCUCAAGUUCAAAUAAAAUUCUAACUUGAUUUCAUAUUGCUUAUUAGAAGAUCAUGUCUAAAUAAUCAUAUUUCAACUUGUGAUCAAUCCCUAAAUACCGAUAGAAAAAAAAUAAGGCAUAAUAGUUAUUUUUUAUAUAACAAGAUUAUUAGUUAUUCGUUGGAUUUCUUUGUGAUAUUUCACUUGAAUCAUUAAUUUUCUAUCAUAGUUUCUCCCUUAUUCGUAUAAAUUAUAAUACUCCUUCCGUUCAAAUUAAUUGAUUAUCUUACUAAAAAUGUUUGUCUCAUAUUAGUUGAUCACCUUACUAAAUAAAAAAAAUAUUAGUCAAAAUUUUUCUAUAUUACCCUAGCAAUUAUUUCAUUUGAAAGUGUUCAUACUUAUUUGUAAAAUUUCCAAGAAGUUUUUUAAAGAGGUGAAUAAGUUAAAUUAUUUUCUUAUUUAUGUCAUAGCUAAUGUUAAGGGAAAUUCUAAUUUGCAACUACAGGUUUGCCCAAUCUUGCUAAGCCUGGUUUGUAUAAUUCACAUGAUUGUAUAAUAUUGUUCUUGACUGCAUAAAUUUAAAAUUUUGAAUAUGCUUACCUUAGUUAUUUGUAUAUGAUUUAUGAAAAAAUUAUAAUAAAGUACCUCGUUUGUAUUUUGACAAGUGAAAUAUACAAAUAGAUAGAAAUAUAUUUUUGCAACUUUUAUAGCAAAUUAAAUUAUAGUUAUGAAACACAAUCAUCAAAACUAUAGCUAUAAAGCAUAAUUAUAUCUAUUAUGUUUGCUAUUUCGAAAAUCUUUCUCUUUAUGAUAUAUACUUAAAAUAUAAGAGAAAAGUUGUUGCUCACAUAAUUUCAUUAAAGUUUGAGUGGGAUAUCCUUAAAAAACAUGAAAAUUUAAGAGAAUACAUAGAAUAACCAUAUGAUCAUUUAAAUCAUUUUAGAAAUUAUUUCAAAAAUUGACAUGAAACCAUUACAAUCUUUUCUAAUAUUUGAAAGAACUUAAGCAUCUGAUUCAAAAUCUUAAAAUAAUGAACAAGUUAUCUUAAAACAUGGUCUAAAACCCAUAUGAAAAUCUUCAUAACAGAGGAGAGACGUACAUAAUUAUUGGAUUACGAAAUAAUAAUAUUAAAUUAUGUUAAUCAUGGCGCUAUUUAUCGGAGAAAGUGGUCAUAAUUCAUAUGAGGACACUUUUUUAUGAAUAGAAAAUGGUUAUUAUUCCUUGAAAUCAUCUAUAUUCUUAUAACUUAUUACUUCACUAUCUUUUAAUUGGAUAUGAAAAUGUUUGUAUAGUAUAUGAAAAAGUAGAAUUAUUAUUGAAAAAAUGAAAAGGGCCUAAAAUACGUUCGAACUAUUGGAAAUGGUAUAAAAUACUCUUCAUCCACCUAUUGAUUUUAAAAUGCCCUUUUCGCCACGUAUUGACUUCAAAAUAUUCUUGUCAUCCACCUUUGAGUUCAAAAUUGACCACUUGUUUAAGGAUUCAAAUUUAAACCAUUUGAAUAAUUUUUUAAAAUACUUGGCGCUCAACAAUUUGAUAUAAUUUAAUUUAUUAAUAUCAUUUAUAAAUCAACUUCUACCCAUCCAUUACUAAUUAAACCCCACCCAAUUAAUAAAUCAACUCUAAUAUCAAAAUCGCCCUAAACACUAUUAAAAGGCACGACGAAAUUACAGAUUCCUAAAAAUGAUAUUCAAAAUUAUUCGAGUUUGAAUUGAAAGUUCAAUUAAAUUUAGCUUGAACCACUUAUUUAGGAAGAUACUUUCAAUAUGAUUCUCUUUCAAGCUUAAAUUCGAAUUUUAUGAUUAAAGAUAAAGAAAUAGUACAUCCCGAAUUAAUUCAUGCAUUUUUUAAAUAUAAUUUAAUAAAUAUUUAUUAUUUGUUUUAAAUAUUAAAACUUUAAUACAUUCUUUUUAAAAAAGUUAUCUAUUAAGUAACAUCACAUAAUUGAGACGAGUGAAUAAUUAAGAUGAACAUAGUCAGACUUUUAAGUUUAUUGAUAAUUUUUAAUUAGACACUUGAAUUAUAAUAUGUUUUGAUUGAGGACUUCUAUGUAUGAUAAUCUACUUCUAUAGACAUUUUUGCCUCAAAAUUUUAGUAUUAGCUGUAGUUUUUUUGUUGUUGCAUUAGUAAUGAGUCGGGUUUAUUAAUUGGGUGUGAUUUAAUUAGUAAUUGUGAGUCGGGUUUAUUAAUUGCGUGUGAUUUAAUUAGUAAUUAUGGGUAGUAGAUUGAUUUAUAAAUUAUAUUAAUAAGUUAAAUUAUAACAAAUAGUUGAGAGUCAUGUAUUAAAAAAUAUUUAAAUAGUUUAAAUUUAAAAUCGUUAAAUAAGUGGCCAAUUUUGAACCCAAAGAUGGAUGACAACGGUAUUUUAGAGUCAAUAGGUGGAUGAGAAGGGUAUUUUGGAAUCAAUAGGUGGAUGGAAGAUAAUUUUGUACCAUUUCUAAUACUUCAAAAAUAUUUUAGGCCGUUGAAAAAAAGAGAUCUUUUUAAUUUAUUUAUUUUGAAAUGUGUUUUUUGUUUUUGUGGAGUUUGUUGAGGGACUCCAUAACUUGUUCAAAUUUUGUUUGAACAAGUAAUAGCACAAAUAAAUGCAAAUGGCCAUAAAAACUAUCAAAAUUAAAUUAUUAGUUACUUUAAGUAAACAUGUUGAUGUUGACCCCAAACUAGGAAAAAAAGGAUUUGGACAUUCAAUUCAAAAUGUGUUAUAAAAUCAAGCUAAUAAGAAUAUAAUUAUAAAGAGAAGAAGACAAGAAAAGUAGAUAGAAGAAAGGGAAUUUUCUUCUUAUUCAAGUGUGUACUUCAAAUGGUGAGUAAUGUCUCUAUUUAUAGUGUUGAAAUAUCACUCCCAAAGAUAACCAAAUUAAUAGAUACAUAUUUGUCCAUAAUGGAUCAUAUCACCUUGAAAAUAUACAUACAUGAAUACAAGUAAAUCAUGAAUAUCCAAUGGACAAUCCACUUAAUUAGUUCAAUGGAUUUGUAACACUUCCCCUUGGAUGUCCAUAGAUAAUGUGUCUCGUUAAAACCUUAUUUAAAAAAAACCUGUGGAAAAAAAUUUCUAGUUAAGGAAAAAGAGUACACAUCUUUUGAUACGCACUAUUUGUUGCCUCAUUAAAAACCUUGUGAGAAAACCCAGUGGGAAAAAACCUCGGUCAAGGAAAAAAAAGUGCAACACGUAUUAUACUCCCCUUGAUUAAAACAUCACUUAAUUUCUUGUGAUGAUGUCUCCAAUCUUCGUACAUUGUGGUUGGUAUAUUAUUUUUCAAAGAAAAACCACAACCCUUAUAGGCAAGAACAAUUUCUUUCUUUUGCCCUUUCGGUAGUUCACAAUAAACAUACCAUAGUGACGUAUAAAACGUACAAUACAAUUAGCCAUUUCUGCCAAAUACAAUUUAUUUCCUCUCAAAUCUCCCGUAGAGAUGAGAAGUGACAUAUAUCAUUUUUUCUCAAACCUUCCAUAAGGUGAGUUGUGGCAUAUAUCCAACCUAUAAUGAUUUUAUCACAUCUUGAUCCAUCUCUUAUAAAAUGGUCCAGCAUUCACGAUACUCAUCACAAGUCACAUUCUCUUGAAGGAAUGGACUAAUUAUUUGUAUGUGCUUCAUAAAUUUGCAUUAUAAGCACAUUGUCAUGGCUUUAAAAUUCAUCAUAUUUCCAUGACACACCUCAACAUCACUUUGAAAGAUCAAGUGUACCAUCACUUUAUCUUCUUGUAUCAUGAUAAAGGAUUUAUAAACUUGUCAAAUUAUUAGGUUGACAACAUUCACAAGUCUAAUGACCUUUCAUACAAUUUUGAUAAUAAAAAUUGUCUUCACAUUUUGAAGGACUAUUUGAAGAACUCAUAGUGUUCUUCCUUUUAUCAUUACUACAAUGAUAACUACUAUAAUUUUGUCCCUCCACGCCCUUAUUCAUAUCAUUAAUUAUUUGUCAUCUUUCAGACUAAUCAUUCACUCCUACCAUAUUCAUAUGAUUGGAUGGAGCAAGUCAACAGACAGAUUUCAGAGUUAUCACAUGUUGCUACCACAUUCUUUUCAAGGAAUGGAGCAAAUUUAAUAUGAUGAAUUUCAAGACAUUUCAUCAAAAAUAUAUUAUUUUUCUUAGUUAUCAUUUUAUCAUCGCUAUGGUGCAUUGACUCAAACUCAAUGUCUUACCCAUAUAAGGCGUGUUACGCCAUAAUUCUAUGGGACUUGAACCAAAUCACGGUGCAUCAAAACUCUAAUUGAUGUCUUACAUCUUAUCCUCAAAUAUUUUUCAUUACGGUGCAUCCGGACUUUAACAUGAUGUCUUACCCUUUUGGUGCAAUGAAACUUGAAUCCGUCGUCUUACCCUUAACCAACGGUAUAAUAACGAAGUACAACAUGAUUUAUUCUUUGAGUCUUUCACAACAAUCAAAAUAAUAUUCAAACUCAUGCUAUUAAAAUUUUAUACCUUCUUCUAUUUAAGAAGUUUUGUAUAGCAUGUCAUAUUCAACCAAUAGUAGUAUAUGUCUUCGGUUCCUGAUAAUUGUUAGUGACUGAAUACUAUUUUAUUCUAAAUCAUAAAAUAUUUUAGAAAAUACAUACUUGAUUUUAUGCAUAUAAUACUUUGAUAUUCAUAACGAGAUCAACCAAAAUAUAAGCUAAAGAAAAACACGAACUCACUCUCAAUUAGACAGAGACUCGUGCUGAUAACGUGCUAUAAAAUUAAGCUCAUAAAAAUAUAAUCAUAAAGAAAAUAAGACAAGAGAAGUAGGAUUUUUCUUCUUAUUCAAUUGUGUACUUCAAAAGGUGAGUGAUGUCUCUAUUUAUAGUGUUGAGAUAUCACUCCCAAAGAUCACGAAAUUAAUAGAUACAUCACCUUGGAAAUAUACAUACAUGAAUACAAAUAAUUCAUGAAUAUCCGAUGGACAAUCCACUUAAUUAGUUCAAUGGAUUUGUAGCAAAAUGCAUAUAAUUAAUUAAAGGAGGCAAAUUUUAAAACGAAGCAAACUCUUGGUUAUAAAAGCGAGUGUCACAGCACUAGUUUAUAUAUAGUACCAACCUUCUCUUCCUUGUAACUUACCUUUUAGCAAUGGCGGAAAUAGUACAUGAUUUUUUCCCAUUGAUGAGAGUUUACAAAGAUGGUCGAAUCGAGAGGCUGGCCGGCGAAGGUUUUGUCCCACCUGAAUCUGAUCCUGAAACCGGAGUACAAAUCAAGGACGUUCAAAUUGAUCCACAAAUUAACCUAUCAGCAAGACUUUACCUGCCCAAAAAUGUCGACCCGGUUCAGAAAAUUCCCCUUUUCGUCUACUUUCACGGCGGCGGCUUUGUUAUCGAAUCUGCUUUUUCUCCUACCUAUCACAAAUAUCUUAGCCUGGUAGCAGCUGAAGCAAAAGUCGCGAUCGUCUCUGUUAACUACAGGUUAGCUCCUGAGUACCCUUUACCCAUAGCUUAUGAAGAUUCAUGGCUAGCUCUCAAAUGGGUCACUUCACAUGCCAAUGGUGAUGGUCGUGAACCAUGGCUAAAAGACUAUGCCGAUUUCAAUCGUGUCUUUUUAGGCGGAGAUAGCGCGGGUGGUAACAUCGCACACCAUAUAGGAAUUCGAUUAGGGUUGGAAAAGUUUGAGGGUGUGAAAAUUGAUGGGAUUUUCCUUGCGUGUCCAUAUUUCUGGGGAAAGGAUCGUAUUGAGGGUGAGGGAGAAAACUUGCUUGCCAAGGAUUUCGUUGAGGACCUUGUGUUGAUUGGUAAUCCCAAUAGCACGGGGUUAGAUAAGGAUCCUAUUGACUUAGGUUCCAAGGAUCUCUUUGAGAAGCUAUGGUUGUUUGUGAAUCCCACCAGCUCUGGAUUAGAUGAUCCGUUGAUUAACCCGGAAAAGGAUCCGAAAUUGUCUGGGUUAGGGUGUGAUAAAUUAGUUGUGUAUGUGGCCGGAAAAGAUCCGUUGAGAUUCAGGGGAUUUUACUACAAGGAGGUGUUGGAGAAGAGUGGGUGGCCGGGGACGGUGGAGGUUGUGGAAGUUAAAGGCAAGGGACAUGUGUUUCACCUCUUUGUUCCUGAAGCUGAAGAAGCCAUAGCCAUGUUGAAAAAAUUGGCCUCUUUCCUUAAUCAGUCAUAGGACCCAGUCAUUUAUAAUCUUGUUUGUCAUGGAAAUUCAACUAUAUAAUAAGGCAUCAUGUGCUUAGCAAAUGAAUUAAGUACUAUUUUUAAUUAGACGUAAUUGUGUUUUUGUUGCUUAAAACCUUAAAAGUGAUUAAUAAAAUAUCUUAAAAGUCUUGUGAAAGAAGUCUUCAUUACUAACAGGGACGUGCAUAAUUGUGAUCGCUAUUGUGCAUAAUUAUUAAGUUACACAAUAAUAAUAACUUUAUUCUGCCUCGUUUAAUAUUUUUUCAAACAUUUGC